rnacentral:rRNA from 1 species
ACCCGCUGAACUUAAGCAUAUCACUAAGGGGAGGAAGAGAAACUAACGAGGAUUCCCUCAGUAACGGCGAGUGAAGCGGGAAGAGCUCAGAAUUUGGAAUCUCCUGUUUCUUUGACAGGCGAAUUGUAGUUUUCAUUUGGAUGAGCAUCUGUGUUGGUGUGAUUUACAAUUGGAUGUGCAAGUUUCCUUGGAAGAGGACACCAGAGAGGGUGAGAGUCCCGUUGCAGCGUCCUGUCGCACUCCGGUUAUGUUGCUUGUCUGUUGAGUCGGGUUGUUUGGGAAUGCAGCCCAAAAGGGGUGGUAAAUUUCAUCCAAGGCUAAAUAUGGGCACGAGACCGAUAGCGCACAAGUACCGUGAGGGAAAGAUGAAAAGCACUUUGAAAAGAGAGUUAAACAGUACGUGAAACCGUUGGAAGGGAAUCGGUUGCCGCUAGCAAAAUGAUAGAAGCUGCGUAAUCAGGCAAGAAUAUAUAGUUGUAUGUAUCUUUGCUGCACUUGCGUGGUUUUCUGUGUCAGCAUGGAUUUGGUGUGUGGGAGACGGUUGUGCGAGGGCGCCCUUGUGCGUGGCAUACAGCCUGUUGCUGCACGCUGGAUUGAGGAAGAACCAACACUAUCGUGGCCCCAUGUGCUGUUCUCAGCAGACAUGCUGCAGACAAAUUUUUCAUGGUUUGUGUGUGGAUGUGUGUGUUGGGAAUGUUGUGUGUGGUGUGUGCAUUUGGUGUUGUGAGAUGCUGGCGACAGGGCUGCAACCGGCCCGUCUUGAAACACGGACCAAGGAGUCCAACACAUGCGCAAGUCUUAUUCAAUAGCAAAAAGAAUGGGGCGAAAUGAAAGUGAGAGGUGAGACGAUGAAAACACUUUUUCAUUGGCAUCAUCGACCAAUCUGGAUUGUUUGCAUUUGUAAACUUGAAGGAAUUGCGUUUGAGCGUGUGUGCUGGGACCCGAAAGAUGGUGAACUAUGCCUGAGUAGGGUGAAGCCAGAGGAAACUCUGGUGGAGGCUCGUAGCGGUUCUGACGUGCAAAUCGAUCGUCAAACUUGGGUAUAGGGGCGAAAGACUCAUCGAACCAUCUUGUAGCUGGUUCCCACCGAAGUUUCCCUCAGGAUAGCUGGAACUUUUAUAAUAAUCGCAGUUUUAUCGGGUCAAGCGAAUGAUUAGAGGCCUUGGGGAGCGAUUUUCCUCAACCUAUUCUCAAACUUUAAAUAGGUAAGACGCACAACUUAGUUUAGUCAAGUUGUGUAUGUAAUGCGAGUUCCAAGUGGGCUUGUUUUGGUAAGCAGAACUGGCGAUGCGGGAUGAACCGAACGCAGAGUUACGGUGCCGGAAUCGACGCUCAUGAGAACCCAGAAAAGGUGUUGGUUGAUAUAGACAGCAGGACGGUGGCCAUGGAAGUCGGAAUCCGCUAAGGAGUGUGUAACAACUCACCUGCCGAAUCAACUAGCCCUGAAAAUGGAUGGCGCUCAAGCGUCGUACCUAUACUCUGCUGUUUAUUCAACAUGGAAAUGAAUAUGUGAGCAAUCAUGUAUUUCAUUCAACUUUAUGGAUAAACAAGUAGGUGGGCGUUGUGGUUUCGUGGAAGCAUGUGGCGUGAGCCUGUGUGGAGAAGCCUCAAGUGCAGAUCUUGGUGACAGUAGCAACGAUUCAAAUGGGAGCUUUGAAGACUGAAGUGGAGCAAGGUUCCGUGGGAACAGCACUUGGCCACGGGUGAGUCGGUCCUAAGAGAUGGGUCAACUCUGUCUAGACACUGUGUACAUGGAUGUAUUUUGUGUACAAGUUAUCGAAAGGGAACCAGGUUAAGAUUCCUGGACCAGGGCACACAUUUUGGUGAAGCGGCAACGCAACCAAACUCGGAGACGCUGGCGGCAGCCCUAGAAAGAGUUUUCUUUUCUUUUUAACAGAUUCAUGGGGGUUUGCAAAAAGCAAUUUUUGUUUUCCUCUGGACAUGGCCCUGGAAUCAGGUUGGCUGGAGAUAGGGCUGCGUGUCUGGGAAAGCGCCACAAGGUUUUCUUUUGUGGUGUCUGGCGCGCUUCCGCUGGCCCGUGAAAAUCCGAGGGCGUGAGAGUAUGACAUAUUUGUGUUGUACAUGAUUGUUGUGCCUGGCCGUACUGAUAACCGCAGCAGGUCUCCAAGGUGAAGAGCCUCUAGUUUGUAGAAGAAUGUAGGUAAGGGAAGUCGGCAAAAUAGAUCCGUAAGCUCGCGAUAAGGAUUGGCUCAAGAGGUUGCGUUGUGGAAGAUUUGGUAUGUUGGUGGUGGAAUGUGUUUCUACAUGUUUUAUCUCCAUGUUCCAUGUUUUUCUACAACAUUUUUAUCAACCAAUCUUGAACUGGUACGGACAAGGGGAAUCCGACUGUUUAAUUAAAACAAAGCAUUGCGAUGGCGGGAAAGCGGUGUUGACGCAAUGUGAUUUCUGCCCAGUGCUCUGAAUGUCAAAGUGAAGAAAUUCAACCAAGCGCGGGUAAACGGCGGGAGUAACUAUGACUCUCUUAAGGUAGCCAAAUGCCUCGUCAUCUAAUUAGUGACGCGCAUGAAUGGAUUAACGAGAUUCCCACUGUCCCUAUCUACGCUCUAGCGAAACCGCAGCCAAGGGAACGGACUUGGCACAAUCAGCGGGGAAAGAAGACCCUGUUGAGCUUGACUCUAGUCCGACUUUGUGAAAAGACAUCAGAGGUGUAGCAUAGGUGGGAGCAGUAUGAUGUUUCUUUGUGCUGCGACCUUGAAAUACCACUACUCUGAUCGUUUUUUUGCUUAUUGAAUGCAGUGGAGUAGUAUCCCCUUAUAAGGGAUACUCCUUUUGGAGUUAAAUGUGUAUUUUCUUGAAUACAUGUGAUCCACGUUCAAGACCUUGUCAGGUGGGGAGUUUGGCUGGGGCGG